GAUGAACGCUGGCGGCAUGCCUAAUACAUGCAAGUCAAACGAACUACACCAUGAACUUGAAAGUGCUUGCACUAGAUUGGAAUUGGAUUUUGUAGUUAGUGGCGGACGGGUGAGUAACACGUGGGUUACCUGCCACACAGUAUGGAAUAACUAUUGGAAACGAUAGCUAAUACCGUAUAUGACCCUCGGGUUGAAAGGAGCGUCUGCUUCGCUGUGUGAUGGGCCUGCGGUGCAUUAGCUAGUUGGUACGGUAAAGGCGUACCAAGGCGACGAUGCAUAGCCGGAGUGAGAGCUCGAUCGGCCACAUUGGGACUGAGACACGGCCCAAACUUCUACGGGAGGCAGCAGUAGGGAAUUUUCCGCAAUGGACGAAAGUCUGACGGAGCAAUGCCGCGUGAGUGAUGAAGGUUUUCGAAUCGUAAAGCUCUGUUGUAAGGGAAGAAUAGCAAGGAUAGGAAAUGCUCCUUGUGUGACGGUACCUUACCAGAAUGCCACGGCUAACUACGUGCCAGCCGCCGCGGUAA
rnacentral:rRNA from 1 species